rnacentral:rRNA from 1 species
CAGCCGCCGCGGUAAUACCGGCGGCCCGAGUGGCGGUCACUAUUAUUUGGCUUAAAGCGUCCGUAGCCGGGUUGGGAAGUCCUCCGGGAAAUCUGGCCGCUUAACGGUCAGAAUGCCGGAGGAUACUCCCAGCCUAGGGAGCGGGAGAGGCCGAGGGUGUUCCCGGAGGAGGGGUGAAAUCCUAUAAUCCCGGGAGGACCACCUGUGGCGAAGGCGCUCGGCUGGAACGCGUCCGACGGUGAGGGACGAAGGCCAGGGGAGCAAACCGGAUUAGAUACCCGGGUAGUCCUGGCUGUAAACGAUGCGGACUUUGUGUCGGACAAGCUAUGAGCUUGUCCGGUGCCGGAGGGAAACCGUUAAGUCCGCCGCCUGGGGAGUACGGCCGCAAGGCUGAAACUUAAAGGAAUUGGCGGG